rnacentral:rRNA from 1 species
GACGAACGCUGGCGGCGUGCCUAAUACAUGCAAGUCGAACGCUUUUUCUUUCAUCGGAGCUUGCUCCACCGAAAGAAAAAGAGUGGCGAACGGGUGAGUAACACGUGGGUAACCUGCCCAUCAGAAGGGGAUAACACUUGGAAACAGGUGCUAAUACCGUAUAACACUAUUUUCCGCAUGGAAGAAAGUUGAAAGGCGCUUUUGCGUCACUGAUGGAUGGACCCGCGGUGCAUUAGCUAGUUGGUGAGGUAACGGCUCACCAAGGCAACGAUGCAUAGCCGACCUGAGAGGGUGAUCGGCCACACUGGGACUGAGACACGGCCCAGACUCCUACGGGAGGCAGCAGUAGGGAAUCUUCGGCGAUGGACGAAAGUCUGACCGAGCAACGCCGCGUGAGUGAAGAAGGUUUUCGGAUCGUAAAACUCUGUUGUUAGAGAAGAACAAGGAUGAGAGUAAAAUGUUCAUCCCUUGACGGUAUCUAACCAGAAAGCCACGGCUAACUACGUGCCAGCCGCCGCCGUAA